GGGUCGUUAGCUCAGCCGGUAGAGCAUCGGACUUUUAAUCCGCUGGUCGUGCGUUCGAGCCGCACACGACCCA
rnacentral:tRNA from 1 species